GGAAUAUUGGGCAAUGGGCGCAAGCCUGACCCAGCGACGCCGCGUGAGGGAUGAAGGCCUUCGGGUUGUAAACCUCUUUCAGUAGGGAAGAAGCGAAAGUGACGGUACCUAAAGAAGAAGCACCGGCUAACUAUGUGCCAGCAGCCGCGGUAAUACAUAGGGUGCAAGCGUUGUCCGGAAUUAUUGGGCGUAAAGAGCUCGUAGGUCGUUUGCCGCGUCGAUUGUGAAAAUCUGAGGCUCAACCUCAGACCUGCAGUCGAUACGGGCAAACUAGAGUGUGGUAGGGGAGACUGGAAUUCCUGGUGUAGCGGUGGAAUGCGCAGAUAUCAGAAGGAACACCAAUGGCGAAGGCAGGUCUCUGGGCCAUAACUGACACUGAGGAGCGAAAGCGCGGGGAGCGAACAGGAUUAGAUACCCUGGUAGUCCGCGCCGUAAACGAUGGGCACUAGCUGUGAGAGCCUUCCACGGUUCUCGCGACGCAGCAAACGCAUUAAGUGCCCCGCCUGGGGAGUACGAUCGCAAGAUUAAAACUCAAAUGAAUUGACGU
rnacentral:rRNA from 1 species